GAUGGACGCUGGCGGCGUGCCUAAUACAUGCAAGUCGAACGAAGAUCUAGCUUGCUAGAUCUUAGUGGCGAACGGGUGAGUAAUACAUAAAUAAUCUGCCCAUAUGACUGGGAUAACUAUUGGAAACGAUAGCUAAUACCGGAUAGGUUGAUCGGAGGCAUCUCUGAUGAAUUAAAGUAGGAUUUCUACACAAAUGGAUGAGUUUAUGGCGCAUUAGUUAGUUGGUGGGGUAACGGCCUACCAAGACGAUGAUGCGUAGCCGACCUGAGAGGGUGACCGGCCACACUGGGACUGAGACACGGCCCAGACUCCUACGGGAGGCAGCAGUAGGGAAUUUUCGGCAAUGGGCGCAAGCCUGACCGAGCAACGCCGCGUGAGUGAUUAAGGCCUUCGGGUUGUAAAGCUCUGUUGUAAGGGAAGAACAUUCAGGAUAGGAAAUGAUCUUGAACUGACGGUACCUUACCAGAAAGCCACGGCUAACUACGUGCCAGCAGCCGCCGUAA
rnacentral:rRNA from 1 species